rnacentral:rRNA from 1 species
CUAACAAGGAUUCCCCUAGUAACGGCGAGUGAAGCGGGAUGAGCUCAAAUUUGUAAUCUGGCGGCCUGUGGUCGUCCGAGUUGUAGUCUGGAGAAGCGUCUUCCGCGUCGGACCGUGUACAAGUCCCUUGGAACGGGGCGUCGUAGAGGGUGAGAAUCCCGUCUUUGACACGGACUGCCGAUGCUAUGCGAUGCGCUCUCGAAGAGUCGAGUUGUUUGGGAAUGCAGCUCAAAACGGGUGGUAAAUUCCAUCUAAAGCUAAAUAUGGGCAAAAGACCGAUAGCGAACAAGUACCGUGAGGGAAAGAUGAAAAGCACUUUGAAAAGAGAGUCAAAUAGUACGUGAAAUUGUUGAAAGGGAAACGCUUGAAGUCAGUCGCGUCUCCCGGGACUCAGCCUUGCUUUGUUGCUCGGCGUACUUCCCGGGGCGACGGGCCAGCAUCGGUUUCGAUCGUCGGAGAAAGGCCGGUUGGGAAUGUGGCACCCUCGGGUGUGUUAUAGCCCUGGGUCGUAUGCGACGGUUGGGACCGAGGACCGCAGCACGCCUUCAUUGGCCGGGGGGACGCCCCACGUAACGUGCUUAGGAUGCUGGCGUAAUGGCUUUAAGCGACCCGUCUUGA